AUUGAACGCUGGCGGAAUGCUUUACACAUGCAAGUCGAACGGCAGCACGGGGCAACCUGGUGGCGAGUGGCGGACGGGUGAGUAAUACAUCGGAACGUGCCCAAUCGUGGGGGAUAACGUAGCGAAAGUUACGCUAAUACCGCAUACGAUCUACGGAUGAAAGCGGGGGAUCGCAAGACCUCGCGCGAAUGGAGCGGCCGAUGUCAGAUUAGGUAGUUGGUGGGGUAAAGGCUCACCAAGCCAACGAUCUGUAGCUGGUCUGAGAGGACGACCAGCCACACUGGGACUGAGACACGGCCCAGACUCCUACGGGAGGCAGCAGUGGGGAAUUUUGGACAAUGGGCGCAAGCCUGAUCCAGCCAUUCCGCGUGCAGGAUGAAGGCCUUCGGGUUGUAAACUGCUUUUGUACGGAACGAAACGGUUCUCUCUAAUACAGGGGGCUAAUGACGGUACCGUAAGAAUAAGCACCGGCUAACUACGUGCCAGCAGCCGCCGUAAUAC
rnacentral:rRNA from 1 species